CAAAGGAAGCGAUUCCGGCGGGGGAUGGGCAUGCGGCGCAUUAGCUAGUCGGCGGGGUAACGGCCCACCGAGGCGACGAUGCGUAGGGGUUCUGAGAGGAAGGUCCCCCACACUGGUACUGAGACACGGACCAGACUCCUACGGGAGGCAGCAGUGAGGAAUAUUGGUCAAUGGGCGGGAGCCUGAACCAGCCAAGUCGCGUGAGGGAAGACGGUCCUAUGGAUUGUAAACCUCUUUUGCCGGGGAGCAACGGGGUCCUUGCGAGGGCCUAAUGAGAGUACCCGGAGAAAAAGCAUCGGCUAACUCCGUGCCAGCAGCCGCGGUAAUACGGAGGAUGCGAGCGUUAUCCGGAUUUAUUGGGCUUAAAGGGUGCGUAGGCGGGCUGUUAAGUCAGCGGUCAAAUGUCGGGGCUCAACCCCGGCCUGCCGUUGAAACUGGUGGCCUCGAGUGGGCGAGAAGUAUGCGGAAUGCGUGGUGUAGCGGUGAAAUGCAUAGAUAUCACGCAGAACUCCGAUUGCGAAGGCAGCAUACCGGCGCCCGACUGACGCUGAGGCACGAAAGCGUGGGUAUCGAACAGGAUUAGAUACCCUGGUAGUCCACGCAGUAAACGAUGAAUGCUAGCUGUCCGGGGCUUCGGUCCUGG
rnacentral:rRNA from 1 species